CUCCGAAACGUGAGGGUUCCGCCAACUCUCCUCAUCGUCUCCUCCCUGCUCCCUCCUCUCCCACGUCGCUGCCCUCAAGCCCGCGCCCCUCCACCUCAUCUCCUCUCCGCUCCCUCCUCUCCAACGCCGCCGCCUUUGAUGCGCCGUUAGGGACGCCGUCGACACUACGUAGCGGUGGAGCUCAGUCCACUCCUAACCCUAUUCGCUCGAUUGACAAGACCAGGGCGACAGAUUGGAUCUAGGGCGCCCGCAUGGCCUCGCCGCCGCCGCCGGCUGGAUUCGCUAGCCGCCGCUUGGAGUCACCCUGGCUGCCGCCUCGAGUCACAUCCGUCGCCGCCGCGAAUCAGCUCCACCGUUGCGGUCAGGAAUCCCGUCCAGGCAAGGAAUUUGAUUGACGGAGGCAUCACUAUCUGGCGCUGGAUUAUACAUCACGUUCUGCACUCGCUCCGCAGAUGGGAGGAAACAGUGACGACAAGGCAGUUGUUAUGCAGAUAAUGAUGUUUUUGACUGGAAUCAACACCCUUCUACAGAGUUUCUUUGGUACCCGAUUGCCUGCGGUGAUUGGUGGAUCAUACACCUUUGUUCUACCUACCAUUUCGAUCAUACUUGCGGGACACUACACCAACGAACCAGAUCUACACACUAUAUGUUGAAAAGAAGGAAUUCCUCAAAAUCAUGCGUGGAACACAAGGUGCUUUGAUCGUUCCUUCUGUACUUGGUAUCGCAAGGCAUUCAGGUUCUCUUUAUAGCUUUCCUACACAGGAACAUAUUGCAAAAUUAAGAUACAUAACAUUGUUCCUGACUUAUGAAAGACGGUCGUUCUACCUACAGGUCUGCCUUAUAUCUACAGGUAUAUCCAUGCAUUCUUUAUUCUUUUUUUGCAGUGACCUACUGAUCUUCGUGAUUUAGUUUAGUGCUAGAGUUAGCAAAAUCUACUGAUCUUAUGUCUUUGUCAUGUUCCCCUUGUUUGGGUGGUCUACCUUUGGCUAUGAAUGUACGUAUAUUAUUGUCAUGUUCCCCUUAUCCCUGCAUCACUGAACAAUGCUGGCAAACUAAUGUCCCUUUGCCCUAUGUAAUGGUGUUACAGACUGCCAUUUGUUUUGUCGAGCUUACUAACUGAUUUUUUUUACAUUAUCAUGAAUAUGCUUUAGGCAUGCCUCUUCUCUGUUUCGGUGAAACAAGGUUUAGGGAACUCUUUUUAAAGACAUGUGUAUACACUAUACAGAACACAUGUUUCAUCGUCUUCGCUUUUUUUCAUGAGUUGUUGAAAAGAUCUUAUGAAGCUUGAUUGAUAAUGUUUCAACUCAGAUGAAGUGGUCUGUAUGAUAAGCUUUUGUAGAUCCUGGGGAUCGUUAUACCUUCUGUACAAUUCUCUGUUCUGGAUUCAAAUAGUUUGGGAGUGUUGCAUGCCUUUGUAUUGUGUUCAUAAACCUUGCUAAGUUUCUCCAUGUCCAGUCUUUUCUUCUAAGAAAAAACUCUUUUGUUGCAUCCACAUUAACCAUAUGUAUUUCCAUUUUCAUUUUUGAAUUGUAAACUGUAGCUGCUUAAAACUUUGGUAUAAAAUAAAGCCCUUAUUGGUAAAUGAGACACGUUAUUAGCAAUGUUUCACAUUUUCUUACUUGCAAUACCAUGCUUGCCUGUUCAGGUCUUCCAAGACCUAAAUCAUGAAAUCCAGCACAUACAACACCUUUUUUUAAACUUCGGUUACCCUGACACAAGCCUCCGUUCAAUUUUCUUAUACGGAGGGGUUAGAAAUAGUUACCUUACGUGCUUGCUUUCAAAACUACAUCUACUGAUAAAUGUUUUUUUUUCAAACCACACUGGGUAUCAUGGAUGGAUGAGGUUGUGGCAGUAGUUCGUGGGUGCAGUAUCUAUCUUGAUAAAGCGAUCGAUCAUGGCGCAUUGGAGGCAGAACAAGAGAAAAGCUUUGGGCGUCUGUGGUGUUGAACAUUCAGUGUUUAUGUGCUUUGUACAUGCACGACCAGUUCAGUAACUAGAUGGUCUUUUCUACUUUACUGGUGCUGCUACUUUUUCACAUGCUAGCUUAUUUGAAAAGCGCCAACAAUGUGUGCCACAUGUAAACAGUCCAUGUUGAAAGAAUAGAAGCAGAAGUGUGGAGAUGAUGUAAUUGGUCAGUCAGGAAAUUCAGUCUCAAUGAGCUCAACUAACGACAUGUGUGAGUUGAGCCUGAGGUCAUUUUCAAAGUAACAGAAGUAUUUUACUUUCCUUUU